rnacentral:rRNA from 1 species
GACGAACGCUGGCGGCGUGCUUAACACAUGCAAGUCGAGCGGUAAGGCCCUUUCGGGGGUACGACGAGCGGCGAACGGGUGAGUAACACGUGGGUGACCUGCCCUCAGCUCUGGGAUAAGCCUGGGAAACCGGGUCUAAUACUGGAUAUGACUCCAUGACGCAUGUUGUGGGGUGGGAAGCCUUGUGCGGCUGAGGAUGGGCCCGCGGCCUAUCAGCUUGUUGGUGGGGUGAGGCCUACCAAGGCGACGACGGGUAGCCGGCCUGAGAGGGCGACCGGCCACACUGGGACUGAGACACGGCCCAGACUCCUACGGGAGGCAGCAGUGGGGAAUCUUGCGCAAUGGGCGAAAGCCUGACGCAGCGACGCCGCGUGAGGGAUGAC